CCCUCGGCCAAGGGGCCAGCCUCUGCAGACCUGCCUUUGUGAUGUCAUCUUCCCUAUGAUCAGACACUAAACUCAGGAAGGCACCAAGACUGGCGGCAUGGCUUUACACCCAAACCAUCUUGGUGCUUCAUGACAGCCAGAUCCCUCACCUCACUGCCCGAGAUGGCAGCCACAUGAGACAGGCCCUGGAAAUAACAGAGGACUGUCUCAAAGCCAGGGUGGAAAGAGCCGGAUUGGAUACUCAGCAAAUGACACCAUGAGGACAUGGCUGGUGGUGCAGGCAUCUUCACACCAGACAACGUUACAUGUGAGACUGCGCCCAGGAGCCGAGUGAGGUUUCUAGGACUCUCAGGAGAGAGCAGAAGGAAGCAACUCCCCAUGACUCCAUGGCUGGCUGGGGCACAAGCUCACAUUCGGGAAGCCACAGAGGGGAGCGACUUGUCACUUUGUGCCUUAGCACUGCGGUGCCCUCAGUGUGAGUGCCACUGGAGACCUUGAGGAAGAGGGUCCCUUUGAAAUUUGGUGACCAACAUCCAUCCAUCUCAGCUCUGUCCUGGAGGUCAGCUAAGAUCAUGGGUGUUGACAUGACUGGAUUAAGAAAUACCUACAAAACUGGCAAAACAGUACUUCUGGAUGUGUCUGUGAGGGUGUUUCAAGGAGACUGAUGUGUCUCUGGACUUGACUUGGACUGGGCCAUGCUACCGGCAUCUCAGAGUUGCCAGCUUGUAGACAGCUUGUUGUGGGACUUCUCAACCUCUGUAAUCAAGUGAGCUAAUUCCCCUAAUAAACCCCCUCUCAUAUGUCUAUA